rfam:Drosophila sechellia strain Rob3c cont1.009386, whole genome shotgun sequence.
AUUCUGGUUGAUCCUGCCAGUAGUUAUAUGCUUGUCUCAAAGAUUAAGCCAUGCAUGUCUAAGUACACACGAAUUAAAAGUGAAACCGCAAAAGGCUCAUUAUAUCAGUUAUGGUUCCUUAGAUCGUUAACAGUUACUUGGAUAACUGUGGUAAUUCUAGAGCUAAUACAUGCAAUUAAAACAUGAACCUUAUGGGACAUGUGCUUUUAUUAGGCUAAAACCAAGCGAUCGCAAGAUCGUUAUAUUGGUUGAACUCUAGAUAACAUGCAGAUCGUAUGGUCUUGUACCGACGACAGAUCUUUCAAAUGUCUGCCCUAUCAACUUUUGAUGGUAGUAUCUAGGACUACCAUGGUUGCAACGGGUAACGGGGAAUCAGGGUUCGAUUCCGGAGAGGGAGCCUGAGAAACGGCUACCACAUCUAAGGAAGGCAGCAGGCGCGUAAAUUACCCACUCCCAGCUCGGGGAGGUAGUGACGAAAAAUAACAAUACAGGACUCAUAUCCGAGGCCCUGUAAUUGGAAUGAGUACACUUUAAAUCCUUUAACAAGGACCAAUUGGAGGGCAAGUCUGGUGCCAGCAGCCGCGGUAAUUCCAGCUCCAAUAGCGUAUAUUAAAGUUGUUGCGGGUUAAACCGUUCGUAGUUGAACUUGUGCUUCAUACGGGUAGUACAACUUACAAUUGUGGGUUAGUACUAUACCUUUAUGUAUAUAAGCGAAUUACCGGUGGAGUUCUUAUAUGUGAUUAAAUACUUGUAUUUUUUCAUAUGUUCCUCCUAUUUAAAACCUGCACUAGUGCUCUUAAACGAGUGUUAUUGUGGGCCGGUACUAUUACUUUGAACAAAUUAGAGUGCUUAAAGCAGGCUUCAAAUGCCUGAAUAUUCUGUGAAUGGGGUAAUGAAAUAAGACCUCUGUUCUGCUUUCAUUGGUUUUCAGAUCAAGAGGUAAUGAUUAAUAGAAACAGUUUGGGCGCAUUACUAUUACGACGCGAGACGUGAAAUUCUUGGACCGUACCUGUUGGGUUGUCCCAUUAUAAGGACACUAGCUUCUUAAAUGGACAAAUUGCGUCUAGCAAUAAUGAGAUUGAGCAAUAACAGAGGUGUGCAUGUCCUGGGCUGCACGAACGCUACAAUGAAAGUAUCAACGUGUAUUUCCUAGACCGAGAAGUCCGGGUAAGCCGCUGAACCACUUUCAUGCUUGGGAUUGUGAACUGAAACUGUUCACAUGAACUCGGAAUUCCCAGUAUGUGUGAGUCAUUAACUCGCAUUGAUUACGACGUCCCUGCCCUUUGUACACACCGCCCGUCGCUACUUCCGAUUGAAUUAUUUAGUGAGGUCACUGGACGUGAUCACUGUGACGCCUUGCGUGUUACGGUUGUUUCGCAAAAGUUGACCGAACUUGAUUAUUUAGAGGAAGUAAAAGUCGUAACAAGGUUUCCGUAGGGGAACCUGCGGAAGGAUCAUUA